rnacentral:tRNA from 1 species
UGCGAGAUAGUUCAGCGGUCAAGAAUGCGGGGUUCAUACUCCCGUGGUCGCCGGUUCAAAUCCGGCUCUCGCAACCA